AGAGAGUGCCAUCCGUAGGAUCAUGGACUUAAAGCUGGACAUUGAGGGCUUUUGUUUGUGCUGUGGUACUGAAGACGUGGAGAUAUUUCACCCUCUUUUUAAAGGCAGCCUCUGUGUGAAGUGUAAAAAUAACUUAACAGAAACUCUGUAUCAGUACGAUGAAGAUGGAUAUCAGUCCUACUGCACCAUCUGCUGCUACGGAAUGGAGG